UGUUUGUGUGUGUGAUUGUAUGUUUGUGCAUCUAUAUAUAUGUAUUGUAUCCUUUACGCAUCUCAGAAUUGUGGUUUUCCAAGAGAGAAUUGUCAAACAUAGGAGAAUAUGGCAAAUAAAUCUCUUCUCGUUUCUUAUCGUUGAUUAUCUUGCCAUUGUGUGUAUUCUUCCUUAAAUUCUCUUGUUUUUCUUUGUAACUUCAGAAUUAGAAUUUGUAAUUGUUAUUGAAAAAUAAAUAACUGGUAAAAAGGAAAAAAAUCUUUAAAAAAUCUC